rfam:Brassica oleracea var. oleracea cultivar TO1000 chromosome C1, whole genome shotgun sequence
GGAAGUCAAUAAACUGUUUCUUAAUUUUUAAUUAAAAAAGUUAAGAACCAGUCCUUAUUUAAGAACCGGUUCUUAGCUCUUUUAAUUAAAAGUUAAGAAACAGUUUAUUAACUUUC